AGCAGCCGCGGUAAUUCCAGCUCCAAUAGCGUAUAUUAAAGUUGUUGCAGUUAAAAAGCUCGUAGUUGAAUUUCGGGAUCAAUAUGUUGGUCGUGCCUUGGUACGUACUGGCAUUAUCGAUUCCUACCUUCUGAAGAACCUCGAUGUCAUUAAUUUGGUGUCUUGGGGAAUCAGGACUGUUACUUUGAAAAAAUUAGAGUGUUUAAAGCAGGCUCGCGCUUGAAUACAUUAGCAUGGAAUAAUGAAAUAGGACGUUUGAUUCUAUUUUGUUGGUUUCUAGGAUCGACGUAAUGAUUAAUAGGGAUAGUUGGGGGCAUUAGUAUUCAAUUGUCAGAGGUGAAAUUCUUGGAUUUAUUGAAGACUAACUACUGCGAAAGCAUUUGCCAAGGAUGUUUUCAUUAAUCAAGAACGAAAGUUAGGGGAUCGAAGACGAUCAGAUACCGUCGUAGUCUUAACCAUAAACUAUGCCGACUAGGGAUCGGAUGAUGUUAAUUUUUUAAUGACUCAUUCGGCGCCUUAU
rnacentral:misc_RNA from 1 species